UAAGAGAGGCAUUGAGCUAAUAAAUGACACCAAGCAUAUUCAUCAAUUAAAUGUCCAGUCAUACAAAACUAAACCGAAUACGAAAAUGACCCAAAACAGUAGCGAGAAGAACGAUAUCGAAAAAGAAAAUGAACCUUUAUUGUUGCGUUUUCCUUAACGUAUACCGAGAAGCUUCCGAUACAAUGAACCAACCAGCGAGCUAAGGACCUGAACCUCGAUCCGGAAACAAAGUACAACGAUCUCAAAUCGAACCUCGACGGAACUCGAACAGAAAAACGACACCACUGGGACCUCUCAGGCGACGGAAACAUGACAGAAAAACAGGAGAGGAGGCUGCGUUCUGGUUGUUGCUGCACAGCUGGAGCUUGUUAAUCCGGCGAGCUGCUAAAGCUCGUUUUCCGGCGAGCUACUGGAGAAAGAAGACGAAGUGAGCAGCAGCUGCUCUUGAUGUGUGUUGUCCGGCAGUGAAGUCGUUUGGACGAGGGGGUCGACGCUACUGGUUUGGU
rnacentral:lncRNA from 1 species